UGAUAAAUUUAUCACUCUGGUUUGUGAGCAAAAACACUUUUUUCCUUUUUUAUUUUUUUAUAAUUGCACUUUUACACCCUAAAAAGUUGGGGUAAAGUUUGAUGUUAGUAAAAUUGCAUAAAUCUAUUGUAUUCUCUCUCUGGAUUCAUUUAUCUACUAAUUGGGUUGCUGUUCUUUUAUGUACUCAGCAUGCAGCGUUGGUUCUUUAGGUAACUUCCCGAGAAUGACACUGAAUUUUGAUCUUCGUUAUACCUUUGGGUCCCUGGCCAAAUGAUGAGGCACAGCAUUUCACAAAAUGAACAGACUCCCACAAUUCAUUUCCCAUUAUGAGGUUCGUUGUCUAUGAAGAAGAGUUCUUCCUACAUUCCCAAAAAUAAGCAAAACUUUUAUAAUAAAUAAAACUAACAGACGAUUAAAUGGGAAACAACAGUAAAGUCACUUUAAAUGUGAUGUUGGUGGAGAAAACUAAAGAACUUUCAUAAAGAACCAUGGAGGAAAAAAAAAGGGUAAAUAAGCUUUGCCUGAGAAAUCAAAACAAACAACAAAAUACGACUCCUUUGAAAAUUUCUGGUAUUUGUAAAUAAUAUACGAUACCAGAAUAAUGCCUAAAUUUGCAUCCCUAAUGUCCUUGCAAAAGCAGUUUUCUCUCCUGAAAGAAAAAUUUGUAGCAUAAUGGCACC